rnacentral:lncRNA from 1 species
UUUUUACACUGUCUCAGUCUGGCAGUAUUGAACCUGUUGCUGCAUUAGCCGAGUUGUAUUUUGCUAGAUAGGGGAAGGAGGGUUGUCUGCUGUCUGGUAGGAGGGCUUUGUCUGUGUGUGCCUUUCUCUCUCUCUCCCUCUCACACUCUCGCUUGCUCUCUCUCUCUCUCUCACUCCCUUUCCCGUCUCUGUGGUUUGUAAGGUAGGUUGCAGUGUGUGUAUAUACACAACAUCAAGAGCAGGAAAAUGGACUCAUUAGGGAGGCAGGCAGUCAUUACCACUCACACUGUACUUCCAGGGAGACAGCGACUAUGAGGAGACAAACUGAGGACUGGGGAACAAGCAGCAUAAAAGAGAAGUGUUAGGAGCUGCUCUUAACCCUUUGGAGUCGGAAGAGAAAAGGGAACUAGAGGGCUUGACUUCUCCUUUACCUCCUGCAUUUACUCUGACCACAGUCCCUCCCUGUUCUCACAAGUGGAGCUCAGCCCUGCUUCCCUUCCUGUUGAUUCCCAGUCAGCUACAUGAC